GCUCAACCGGGGAGGGUCAUUGGAAACUGGGGAACUUGAGUGCAGAAGAGGAGAGUGGAAUUCCACGUGUAGCGGUGAAAUGCGUAGAGAUGUGGAGGAACACCAGUGGCGAAGGCGACUCUCUGGUCUGUAACUGACGCUGAGGCGUGAAAGCGUGGGGAGCGAACAGGAUUAGAUACCCUGGUAGUCCACGCCGUAAACGAUGAGUGCUAAGUGUUAGAGGGUUUCCGCCCUUUAGUGCUGCAGCAAACGCAUUAAGCACUCCGCCUGGGGAGUACGGUCGCAAGACUGAAACUCAAAGGAAUUGACGGGGGCCCGCACAAGCGGUGGAGCAUGUGGUUUAAUUCGAAGCAACGCGAAGAACCUUACCAGGUCUUGACAUCCUCUGACAACCCUAGAGAUAGGGCUUCCCCUUCGGGGGCAGAGUGACAGGUGGUGCAUGGUUGUCGUCAGCUCGUGUCGAGAGAUGUUGGGUUAAGUCCCGCAACGAGCGCAACCCUUGAUCUUAGUUGCCAGCAUUCAGUUGGGCACUCUAAGGUGACUGUCGGUGACAAACCGGAGGAAGGUGGGGAUGACGUCAAAUCAUCAUGCCCCUUAUGACCUGGGCUACACACGUGCUACAAUGGGCAGAACAAAG
rnacentral:rRNA from 1 species